AGAGAAUAAAGGAAGAAGGAAAGAAGAAACACCAAAACUCACAUCUCUAUUUUGUUCCCAAAUGAAUUCCAUUAGACUCGAUAUGUCAUUCUAAGUAUUCCUGAAUAUAGCUGUGGAUUUAGAUAACUCUCUUCUCCUCUUCUGACCUUUAUUACGACUACAAAAAUUCUGUGUGUGAGGGAUAAAUAAUGCAUGCUUUCAGCCAAGAAAGGAAUGAAGACCCAAGCAAACAUUGCAGAAUAAAGUGCCAAGAGCCGAUAGGGUGCAGCCCCACCACGGUCCUACUGGGAAUGCACAUUCAGAAAGCAAGUUUUGAGAACCCAGCACCAGGAAUCAGCUUUCUGUUCUGCCUCUGUUCUUUUCCGCCAGGUGAGCCAUUCAAGAGUCCAUAUACAGUAGCGGACGGUGGAGACAGUACUUGGACCCAGAGCUGACUCCCAGCGCCAUGCAGGUCCUUAGCCAGGUGGGUUGCUCCUGGGCAUCUGCUGCAGCCUCGAGCACUGAGUACUGGAAGGGAUUAUUUGGGUCGGCCGAGAGACAGAGGAGACCUGGGAUUUUCGUGAUACUGACUUAAUUGAAACAAAGCCCGGAAAAGCCUUUACAAAGUGAGAAACUCUGGUUUUCUCUGAGAGUUAGGAUCUGGUAUGAGGAUGAUGGUGCUGAAAACCCCUGCAAAACUCACCAGCAGUACCUACGUGGGGGAUGUGAAGGGAGAGCGGAAUAAAGGACAGAAAGGAAGUCAAAAGAUGUUUGGAUUGGGAGCAAGAAAAAAAAAUUAAGCAGGGGUGUGGGAAAAGACCAGAGGACAAGAACCUCUGAAAGAAACUGAAAAAAUUGAUACAUUUAGGUUAGUCAACUGAAAGAAACAUAAAGUGCAUAUAGGUGAUUUUACAAGGAGCCCUGCCAAAAAUCACAGGAGGUUCAUUAUUUUCACCCUCAUUUCCUGCGAUCACACUUGACCGAAGGCAUCUAGACUGGAAAGGACACCGUUGCCCUCAAUACCAUGUUUACAGUAACUAAUGACCUCUCUCGAGUAUAACUCAAGUUCCUAGAAUACAGUUGUAAUUCUAGAAGACAACUGGCUUGCUGUAAUGGUCUCUACAUAAUUGUUAGUGAUUUCUGCUCUGUUUUGGCAAGGCAUGCAAUCCUUAAGGUUUCUUUGUUGGUGGUGUUUUUUUUUUUUUUUUUAUCAGAGCAAAUGUGACUGUUGGAAGCUCCUUUGUGCAGAAGCACUAGUUAGACUGGACCCGAGGAGGGUGGUAGCCGGGAUGGCCUUGUGUGGAUUAUACCCAAGUACGAGGGAGUCAAUCUGUGAAUAUUUGAAUAAAGGGUGAAUAUG